rnacentral:rRNA from 1 species
UACGUAGGGUGCAAGCGUUGUCCGGAAUUAUUGGGCGUAAAGAGCUCGUAGGCGGUUUGUCGCGUCUGCUGUGAAAACCCGAGGCUCAACCUCGGGCCUGCAGUGGGUACGGGCAGACUAGAGUGCGGUAGGGGAGAUUGGAAUUCCUGGUGUAGCGGUGGAAUGCGCAGAUAUCAGGAGGAACACCAGUGGCGAAAGCGGCUCUCUGGGGAUUACCUGACGCUGAGGCGCGAAAGCGUGGGGAGCGAACCGG